rnacentral:rRNA from 1 species
GAUUAACGCUGGCGGCAUGCCUAAUACAUGCAAGUCGAACGGAAGUAGUAAUACUUUAGUGGCGAACGGGUGAGUAACACGUAUCUAACCUACCAUUUAGUGGGGAAUAACUGUUGGAAACGACAGCUAAUACCGCAUAUGUUAUUUAUUUGCAAUAGUAAAUAAUGAAAGGAGCAUUUGCUUCGCUAUUUGAUGGGGAUGCGGCGCAUUAGCUAGUUGGUAAGGUAAUGGCUUACCAAGGCAAUGAUGCGUAGCCGAUCUGAGAGGAUGAACGGCCACAUUGGGACUGAGACACGGCCCAAACUUCUACGGAAGGCAGCAGUAGGGAAUUUUUCACAAUGGGCGAAAGCCUGAUGGAGCAAUGCCGCGUGACUGAUGAAGGUCUUCGGAUUGUAAAGGUCUGUUGUAAGGGAAGAAAUGCUAGAAUAGGAAAUGAUUUUAGUAUCGACGGUACCUUACCAGAAAGCCACGGCUAACUAUGUGCCAGCCGCCGCCGUAAUAC